CAGUUUUACUCAUGGGACGCUGAUGAUUGAUGGAGCAGGACCGCUACCACUCCUCGCCUACGUAAAGCACGUGCCAGAUCUGAGCGAGUGAAGGCACUGGUGCCCGUGCGACGCAUCAUCGUUGUAAUGGUUGGAACUGCUCUGUCAAAUCCUUACCUUUCUUUUGCAGAGGCACUGAAUGGUUUGGCUGGUCCACAACAGUCUCAGAGAGUAUAUAUAUCACCUGGAGAGACGCGACGAUCCCCAAGAGAUGCAUCGGUUCCAGGAGGACGGGAGAGAAGCGACGGUUGCAACGGACACAGGCGUCCGUACGGGUGCAACUCGUUCGAUGGGCAAGGGGAGAUUUCCCUUAAUUACAGAUUAUAGUUUAAUCUUAACACUCCCCCUAAUCUACGCUUGACCAUGUAUAAUCAUCUUCACGAUUGUCCGGGAAGCUCUAUCAUCUCAAAAGAUUCUCUUUCAAAAGUUCUUCAUAAAA